rnacentral:rRNA from 1 species
GUGUCAGCCGCCGCGGUAAUACGUAGGGUGCGAGCGUUAAUCGGAAUUACUGGGCGUAAAGGGUGCGCAGGCGGUUUUGUAAGUCAGAUGUGAAAUCCCCGGGCUUAACCUGGGAACUGCGUUUGAAACUACAAGACUAGAGUGUAGCAGAGGGGGGUGGAAUUCCACGUGUAGCAGUGAAAUGCGUAGAGAUGUGGAGGAACACCAAUGGCGAAGGCAGCCCCCUGGGUUAACACUGACGCUCAGGCACGAAAGCGUGGGGAGCAAACAGGAUUAGAUACCCUGGUAGUCCACGCCCUAAACUAUGUCAACUAGUUGUCGGGCCUUAACGGGUUUGGUAACGUAGCUAACGCAUGAAGUUGACCGCCUGGGGAGUACGGUCGCAAGAUUAAAACUUAAAUGAAUUGACGGGG